AUUGAACGCCGGCGGCAAGCCUAACACAUGCAAGUCGAACGAGUGGCGGACGGGUGAGUAAUGUCUGGGAAACUGCCUGAUGGAGGGGGAUAACUACCGGAAACGGUAGCUAAUACCGCAUACCAUCGGAUGUGCCCAGAUGUGAUUAGCUAGUAGGUGGGGUAAAGGCUCACCCAGACGACGAUCCCUAGCUGGUCUGAGAGGAUGACCAGCCACACUGUGAUUGAGACCCGGUCCGAACUCCUACGGGAGGCAGCAAUGGGGAAUAUUGAACAAUGGGCGCGAGCCUGAUGCAGCCAUGCCGCGUGUAUGAAGAAGGCCGUCGGGUGGUAAAGUACGUUCAGCGGGGAGGCGUUACCCGCAGAAGAAGCACCGGCUAACUCCGUGCCAGCAGCCGCGGUAAUAC
rnacentral:rRNA from 1 species